rnacentral:lncRNA from 1 species
UCAUUCUUUACAGGACAUUGUUAUGUUUGGGAGAUAGAACAUACAUGUCUUUUGUUGUGACUUUUGAACCUAACAGCAUAUUUACAGCUCUAAGCAAGUCUGGUCCCCCAGAGUAAAUGAAACAUUCCAAAGGCUUGUUCUCAGCCAAUCUAGCUACAAGUAGUUAACUCCUCCUGACACAAGUUCGUAGCCAUGGAAGAAAAUUUGGGGCAGCAGGCUCCAUCCAAGGUGAAUUACUUUAUUUGGUGGUAGCCAAUGAUGCUUAGAGCCUCAGCCACCCAAACUCCAGAGGGAGGGUUCCAUUUAUGCAGUAAAUGUUCGUAAUGAGAGGAGCAAUCAGAGGAUUUGAAUCAUCUAUUUUUACACUGUACAGUUACCUCUCAAAUCUGGAGUCCUUUUCUAAACAUCCUGAGAAUUAGCCUGUCAAUGCAUAACUCGACGGUAGAGUUUCAAAAAAUUUGGGAGUAAAAGAGAUCUCAAUAAAAAUGCAAGUUACAGUUGGAACACUAUUCCUCAGGCUGUAUCGUGGACAGACUGGAUAGAGAGAAACUUUUAUGGCAAAAAAAGGAGGCAUACAUAGCCUUGCAAGAGAAUGUAAAUGGCAUUAUUGAUACAGUAACUACUUAACAUGAACUGCAACUAUGUUUUGAUGCAUUAACUUAGUGCUUCUUUGAUAUCAACAAAGAUUGACCCUUGUUCAUAAAAAAUUCUGACUAAAAAAUGAC